GGGGAAUAUUGGACAAUGGGCGAAAGCCUGAUCCAGCCAUGCCGCGUGAGUGAUAAGGCCUUAGGGUUGUAAAGCUCUUUCGCAGGUGAAGAUAAUGACGGUAACCUGAGAAGAAGCCCCGGCUAACUUCGUGCCAGCAGCCGCGGUAAUACGAAGGGGGCUAGCGUUGUUCGGAAUCACUGGGCGUAAAGCGCGCGUAGGCGGACUGUCAAGUCAGAGGUGAAAUCCCAAGGCUUAACCUUGGAACUGCCUUUGAAACUGUCAGUCUGGAGUCUCGGAGGGGAUGGCGGAAUUUCUAGUGUAGGGGUGAAAUCCGUAGAUACUAGAAGGAACACCGGUGGCGAAGGCGGCCAUCUGGACGAGAACUGACGCUGAGGCGCGAAAGCGUGGGGAGCAAAC
rnacentral:rRNA from 1 species